rnacentral:lncRNA from 1 species
UGUGGUGUAGUUGUGGUGUAGUUGUGUUGUGGAGUUGUGCAGUUGUUGUGUUGUUGUGUCGUUGUGUCAUUGUGUAGUUUUGUUGUGUUGUGUAGUUGUUGUGUUGUGUCACUGUGUAGUUGUGGUGUUGUGUCAUUGUGCUGUUGCUGUGUUGUUGUGUAGUUGUGUUGUAGUGUUGUUGUGUAGUUGUGUUGUUGUUUUGUUGUGUUGUGUAGUUGUGUUGUGUAGUUUUGUUGUGUAGUUGUUGUGUUGUGUAGUUGUUGUGUAGUGUAGUUGUUGUGUUGUGUAGUUGUUGUGUUGUGCCACUGUGUAGUUGUGGUGUUGUGGCAUUGUGCUGUUGCUGUGUUGUUGUGUAGUUGUGUUGUAGUGUUGUUGUGCAGUUGUUGUGUUGUUGUGCAGUUGUAGUGUUGUUGUGCAGUUGU